AACGAACGCUGGCGGCAGGCUUAACACAUGCAAGUCGAACGCACCGCAAGGUGAGUGGCAGACGGGUGAGUAACACGUGGGGAUCUGCCCAAUGGUACGGAAUAGCUCCGGGAAACUGGAAUUAAUACCGUAUGUGCCCUUCGGGGGAAAGAUUUAUCGCCAUUGGAUGAACCCGCGUCGGAUUAGCUAGUUGGUGAGGUAAAGGCUCACCAAGGCGACGAUCCGUAGCCGGUCUGAGAGGAUGAUCAGCCACACUGGGACUGAGACACGGCCCAGACUCCUACGGGAGGCAGCAGUGGGGAAUAUUGGACAAUGGGCGCAAGCCUGAUCCAGCCAUGCCGCGUGAGUGAUGAAGGCCUUAGGGUUGUAAAGCUCUUUCGCCGACGAAGAUAAUGACGGUAGUCGGAGAAGAAGCCCCGGCUAACUUCGUGCCAGCCGCCGCAGUAAUAC
rnacentral:rRNA from 1 species